UUACUAUUUCCUUCGUUUUAAUAUUCUUGUCUUAAAUUUAUGUAGAUAUAAAUGUAUCCAAUCACAUUUUAGUAUUUAGAUACAUUUAUUUGUAGACAAAUUUAAGACAAGAAUUUUGGGACGGAGGAAGUAUUUA
rfam:Hordeum vulgare subsp. vulgare, WGS project CAJW01000000 data, contig: morex_contig_44053